UAAACGGAAGCCAAUAGAGGCAUUUAUCUGUUACAUAAACCACUGCUGUACCUACCAGCCCGUUUAG
rnacentral:tRNA from 1 species